rnacentral:rRNA from 1 species
UACGGAGGAUCCGAGCGUUAUCCGGAUUUAUUGGGUUUAAAGGGUGCGCAGGCGGGGGAUUAAGUCGGCGGUGAAAUUUUGCAGCUCAACUGUAAAAGUGCCUUCGAAACUGGUUUCCUUGAGUGUAGAUGAAGUAGGCGGAAUUUGUGGUGUAGCGGUGAAAUGCAUAGAUAUCACGAGGAACUCCGAUUGCGCAGGCAGCUUACUAAACUACUACUGACGCUCAGGCACGAAGGCGUGGGGAUCAAACAGGAUUAGAUACCCCCGUAGU